rnacentral:rRNA from 1 species
AACGGCCGUACCAUGCUGAAUAUACCGGUUCUCGUUAGUUCACCGAAGUCAAGACUCAUUGGGCCCGGUCAGUACUUGGGUGGGUGACCACCUGGGAACACUGCGUGCCGUU